rnacentral:rRNA from 1 species
CCUACGGGAGGCAGCAGUGAGGAAUAUUGGUCAAUGGACGAGAGUCUGAACCAGCCAAGUAGCGUGAAGGAUGACUGCCCUAUGGGUUGUAAACUUCUUUUAUAAAGGAAUAAAACGAGGCACGUGUGCCUUUUUGCAUGUACUUUAUGAAUAAGGAUUGGCUAACUCCGUGCCAGCAGCCGCGGUAAUACGGAGGAUCCGAGCGUUAUCCGGAUUUAUUGGGUUUAAAGGGAGCGUAGAUGGGUUGUUAAGUCAGUUGUGAAAGUUUGCGGCUUAACCGUAAAAUUGCAAUUGAUACUGGCAGUCUUGAGUACAGUUGAGGUAGGCGGAAUUCGUGGUGUAGCGGUGAAAUGCUUAGAUAUCACGAAGAACCCCGAUUGCGAAGGCAGCUUACUAAACUGUGACUGACAUUGAUGCUCGAAAGUGUGGGUAGCAAACAGGAUUAGAUACCCUUGUAGUC